ACACAGUUUUUGAUUGGACCAGAAGAAUGUAGCAGAACUUAACAUUCAAGAUGCCAAUCCUAUACCCAUAUACGAAAGGUGGCAUGAGCAUUGUAUAUUAACAAACAGCUUUCAAUCAUUACUACCAUCACAAAAAGAACAGGUGGAAGAUUUAAAUUAUUUCUCUCUCUCUCUCUCUCUGAAUGCAUGGCUGUGAACAGAAUGCCUCUAAGACAAGUAUCUACUACAUGGCAGAUCAAGCAUAUUAUCACUGCAAGAGCGGGACUUCAAAAAUUACAUCUUCACCCUGUUGGCAAGUACACAAACACCUUGAUGUGGAAUCUUCAACACUGGCAUUCACUAUCUUCAUUCCUGGCUAACACAGACAUUCGGGCAGCCACAAGCAGCCACAUCAAUGAAUAAGACCACACAAGUAGGAUUAGGAACUUUUGUUAAACCAGAGGUUCGCUGUAUUGACAUUGGAAGAGCUACAGUGAUAAACAUUGAUCCUUGGAAAGCUAUGAGCAAUGUACAACACGUGACAGCCAUUUGUUGUUUUAAUGUUCAGAGCCACCCUCUGCACUCACAUUUAAGGUAAACCUAGCAUGUUGUUGCUGCUGCCACUGCUGCUGCUGUUAUGUGCUAUUCAAGUUGGAACCGACUUAUAGUGACCUUAAUAUGGCUGUCAAGGCUGCAAAUUUACACAACCUUAUCCAGGAGUCAGAUCCAUUUAAGUGAACGGAAUUGUUUUCUGAGGAACAAACAUAUGACAGCAACUGUAAGUAUAUUUUUAUGGUAUUUGUGCCACUCCUUUACUUUUGAAUUGUUCAAAGAAGGCUAUAACCUUUCAAAAUCAGUUACUGUAUAUACUGUCACAUAUAUAUUUUAAUCCACUUUAAAUGGUUGCUAUAAAUAUACUGUUUUGAGAGCAGACACCUAAUAUUUCAGUUUAAGAAAACCUCUUCACCAUUUUAAAAUAACAUAUAUCUGUGUUGGCCUGGGAGUGGAAAUACCAGUAACUCCUUAAAAGGGAGUGAGGAAGAAAACAUUCACACUCUUACUGUUUUAGGUCUGGGUCUCACAAAAAAACGAAGGGAUGGACCAAAAGUUUGAUGUGGCCAUCAUAGGUCUCUUUGGUAAAGAGCUCAUUGAUCAUGAGUGUCAUGUAGCACAGUGGGGCUGCUUUUAUUCACCUCAAAGACUUUUGAGGCACAUUAGGUAUCAAUCAAACACUCGUCAUCUCCAGCACCCCACUGUCAGAUCCUGUGUGUAAUUCUCUUCCUUGCUUUUCUUCUGAAGUUUGAAAGAACUAAAAACGCUCUUCUUGGCAAAACCAUGCCAUCAUCAGGUUUGAACUCAAAUCUGAGUUCAAAUUUCAAUAUUGUUCCCUAGCUCUGAACAAGGAUGCAAUCUUCAUGUUUUAACAAAGGGGGGGGGGCAGUAUGAAAGAGGAUCUGUUUGCUUUAUUUUCAUAUUCUACAGAUGAUUCCCAAAACAGAGCCUUUAAACAGAAAUGGCAUUCAUUAAAAAAGGGACAUGAACGUUUUGUAAGUUGUUUACCAAUCUUCUACUCAUUGUCUCAUCAAAUUACCCAAGAGAUUUUCAUCCAAUAUUGUUGUGAAGGCUGUUGUUAGUAGCCUAUCAGAAUGUCUGGAGCGUGGGGUGGGGGCAGAUAUCUGGAAGAUAUAAAAAGGGCCUGGAUUGGCUGGAAACCAGUGGAUGUGUUCUUUCAUUGUUUCACUCAUUCCUUGUGAUGUGGGAGUUCCUGGCACAACCCAUUUUAUACUGUCUGACUGGCUGCAUCUGUUAUUCACAUGAUCUUCAAUCCUUUCCUCUUUUUUUCCCCUUGCCUCCUUUGGAUUAUUUUUUGUAUUUCUUUUUCCUAUGAU
rnacentral:lncRNA from 1 species